GUUUGGUUAAGUUAGAAAGGGCGCACGGUGGAUGCCUUGACACUAGGAGUCGAUGAAGGACGGGACUAACGCCGAUAUGCUUCGGGGAGCUGUAAGUAAGCUUUGAUCCGAAGAUUUCCGAAUGGGGAAACCCACCAUACGUAAUGGUAUGGUAUCCUUAUCUGAAUACAUAGGGUAAGGAAGACAGACCCAGGGAACUGAAACAUCUAAGUACCUGGAGGAAGAGAAAGCAAAUGCGAUUUCCUGAGUAGCGGCGAGCGAAACGGAACAUAGCCCAAACCAAGAGGCUUGCCUCUUGGGGUUGUAGGACAUUCUAUACGGAGUUACAAAGGAACGAGGUAGACGAAGCGACCUGGAAAGGUCCGUCGUAGAGGGUAACAACCCCGUAGUCGAAACUUCGUUCUCUCUUGAAUGUAUCCUGAGUACGGCGGAACACGUGAAAUUCCGUCGGAAUCUGGGAGGACCAUCUCCCAAGGCUAAAUACUCCCUAGUGAUCGAUAGUGAACCAGUACCGUGAGGGAAAGGUGAAAAGCACCCCGGAAGGGGAGUGAAAGAGAUCCUGAAACCGUGUGCCUACAAAUAGUCAGAGCCCGUUAACGGGUGAUGGCGUGCCUUUUGUAGAAUGAACCGGCGAGUUACGAUCCCGUGCGAGGUUAAGCUGAAGAGGCGGAGCCGCAGCGAAAGCGAGUCUGAAUAGGGCGUUUAGUACGUGGUCGUAGACCCGAAACCAGGUGAUCUACCCAUGUCCAGGGUGAAGUUCAGGUAACACUGAAUGGAGGCCCGAACCCACGCACGUUGAAAAGUGCGGGGAUGAGGUGUGGGUAGCGGAGAAAUUCCAAUCGAACCUGGAGAUAGCUGGUUCUCCCCGAAAUAGCUUUAGGGCUAGCCUUAAGUGUAAGAGUCUUGGAGGUAGAGCACUGAUUGGACUAGGGGUCCUCAUCGGA
rnacentral:rRNA from 1 species